UCUCUCAAACUCCUGUACUAUAUGCUUUAACCCUUCAGUUUUUAAUUUGAUGCCUUAUUUUUUUUCCAAAUAUUCAUGUCCUUAUACACUGACAGAGCUUGCACAAGACUAAAUCAAAAGAAAACAUCUGGACAUGUCAAAAUGUGGAUGAAUGGAAGUCUCAGCUGGAUUGUUCCAUGCAGUUUUGGAUACCAUACUUCAGAAAAUAUGUGGUCCAAAUGGAUGUACUCUGCAGAGAUUAAAAAGAAUAACUGGAAACUGUGAUCAGCAAGGAAAACAAAAGCAGAAUUAGGUUUAUUUAGUCUGAAGAAGAGAACUCCAAAGGAAAGCAGGAGAAAUGUUCCUUAGGUAUGCAAGUGCUUGCCGGGAAGUAAUAGCUUGUUGUCAGAGGAUUCACAAUGCAUACGACAAAAGAUAAUGGACCUAAACUGUGGUAAAGAGAUUCAUGGCCAAAUCAAGGGCUAAAGUAUGAAAGAGUACCCAAGCACUAUAUUGUAUUGCCUGAGAAAGCUGUAAAUAUCCAUCAUUAAGGGAGAUAGUUGCUGUUGUUUUAGGCAAGUAUUUCACAGUUAUGUCUGGAUGUGGGUUAAAAGGAGGAACUAAGCUGAUUUUUGAGAACACUUCCAGCUAUGUUUUCUAUAAUAAAUUUUGGAAGUAAGGAAGGAGAAAAGUUCGGACGUGAAAACUGAAGAAACAUCUAAAGAUUAUGAUCUUUCACAUUAUUCUUUUAUUGGCAAAUACUACAUAUAAAUAGUAAAGGAAUUACUUGUAUCUUCCCUGAUACAUGAAGAUUUCAAAAAGUAGCUGUCUGCUCUUCUGUUUUGACAAAUGUGGUUAAUAGAUACCCUGUUAUUAUAAAAAUGUAGUACUUUUUAUCAUGAUUGUUUUAAAAAUCUAUUGCAACUGAAAGCCUUUAAUAUUCCUCCUAACCUCCCUUUAGAGUUUGUUUGUUGCUGGCUUUUCUGGUGUGAGGAAAGCAAAUGUCACAUUGGGUGGCUGCCUCUUCUCUUGGGCAUGGUCACUGCAGAUUGGUGCUAACCAUUAUUUGCUUGUUUUUCAAGUGUUCUGGGGCAAAACAAUGGGACAGGACACAUCUGACUGUCUGACACUCCUGUGGCAUGGACCGCGCUGGAACAACUAGGGCUUCUUAUUUUGUGGGGUGAAUUGAUGCCUAAAGAGGCUGACCUGGAACAGAGGCUAGGCAGAGUUAAAGGAAUAAAAACUGCAAACUUUUAGAGAAAGAGGGACCAUACUUGAUUGAAAAGGUUCUGUGAAAAUGCCUUCUUCCAGAGCAGUCAUGUCAGGGGAACAGAUUGGCCGGACCAUGUUGUUCAGAAAAGUGGCACUUUUUACAGUGUCCUUGGAGAAAAUCAGGUAUGGGUUUCAGUUAACUGAAUACCCAGGAAGAAUUGUUGUCCCCCAGGUUCUCAGGAAAGGGUUCAGAAGAGAGUAACAAGUCUGAAAAACCUACGUAAGUGUGAUGGAUGCAAUAUGCUAUUAAGAAAGAGCUUAAAAGAAGAGUCAUGCCAGAAAAGAGCUGUUGAACACCAAAGAAAAUGGCAGAAAUGAGACUUCUCUUUCUGGAAAGUAAAUGUAGAAAAUCAAGCUAGAAAUUAUGUGCCUACCUCUUGGCGUGUUUAGUUGACCUGGAAACUACUUACCUGGACAUGAACCUUGCUUCUGUCGCAUGAAAUCGGUUUCUAAAGAAAUGAAGACAUUUAAAUGUCUGUUAACUACCAAGGAAAUAUUUCAUCAUCCCCUUACUUGGUGGUAAAGCAAAUACAGAAUUGAAAAGAUGAAUCUCCAUAUUCUCAUGCUAUACAAGCAACAUUAAUUAAUUCAACAUGACAAGCUUUGUGAAGUAUCUGGGUAAGUCAAUCUAGUAUCAUUUUGUUCAUGAAGCCCAAAAUAUAGACUGACAAAGCACAAGUAUGAAAUGCAUUUCAAUCAGUUUAAUCAAAUAGAGUCAAUGUAAAGAAAAGGGGCAUUGUCAAGAUGUGUCAGUGAACAUUUGACCUGCCUCGCAGUUAAUAUUGUUUUUGUGCAAAUUUCUCUUGGGGGAAUACCCGCUCUGCUCUGCAUUUCAGUUCUAAAAGCUGAAAAUUUUAUUUUUGAUCUGGUGAGUGAAAAAUCUUUAGUAGGAAUUAUAUAGGAAAACAUCACUUGCAAAUCAUUAUUCACACACAAUUUGAGCUUGUGAAAUCAGACCCUUUAAAGAAACUAGACUAUUCAGUGUGACUUUGACUUGAUUGUAGGAAAUUCUGCUUUCUCUGAGUGAUCUUUUUUGUCUGUUUUGCAAGAUCACAAUGAUGAGACUAUAGAGUACCAAGUUCAAAAUCUACUGGAGAGUUUAGCUUGUUCUCUUCUCUAAGACUUGCAGAGGAAGAUGAGGGCACAAAGUGAACCUAGACCAGAGCCAAGUGGCCACAGAGCUUGGCAAGCUGUGCCUUUUAAAGGCAGUGGAAGGGGCUUGCCCCAGAUAGCUUCAGUGAGACCUCAAGAGGGAUUCCCUGGUAAGAUCAUUCAUGAUUUCUCCCAGGAGAGAGUACCCAAAUCUGCCUUACUUCUCUGCAUCCCAAAUCUCUCUUUAUCACUUUCCAUGAUCCCAGUGAAAAGCAAAGCAGAAUGCAGGUCUGUAUUUAUUUCUGAAAAUUUCUUCACAGAUUUAUUUUCACAGUGCUUGAUCUAAGGCUACAGUUUCUGAUCAUGCUCAAUAUGCAGAAUAAUUUAAUGGUCAAAUCACGGCACAAAAGGAUUCUGUUUUGUCUGUAAAUCUACUCCUCUGCCAGGGAAUAAUGUAGUUGUUUUAAGGGCUUUUAAAUCUGUCUGUUACUUUCUCUGAAGACUAUAGAUUAGGCAGGAUUUAAAUUCACUGACUGACACACAUGUAUGCUCAGCAGAAACCAGAAAAGUAGCUGUUAACUUUUUUUCUGAAGAGAAGAGAAAGCUACAGGUGUGACCAAGAUUUGGAGGACAAUUUCAAAAGCCCAUAUCCCACAGCAAUAUGUAUUUGAUAGCCUUGUUUAAUUUCUGACCUUCAGCUUUCUCUGCCUAAAAAACACCAUCACUUUCUAGCAGCUGUGGUGACCUCAGACACAUGAAUCAAGUUUGCCAGGCUAUGGAGAGAUCUGCAAGGUGGGUCUCUAAUAAAUGCCUGAGCAAACUUCUCUAUCCACCCCUUAGAAGUGUUGAGUGUUACCCCACCCAGGAAUGAAUGCUGACUUAUCAGUGCUAAGUUUCCUACCACUCCUUAGAGACAAGAGGAAAUCCACAAAUUCUAUGAAUUUCACCCCCUCUGAUUGCCAUUUGUACCCCCUCCCCUGAUUCCUGGUCCCUUCCCCUCCCCAAACGUUGAUGGAGCCAUUCCUAGAGCACACCAGAGCCUAUGAAAGCGUGACCAGAGCACAGUCAAGCUCUGGAAUCCCAGUGGACCAAGUCAUACUUCCAGUAUGUGCACACUCUGGUCUGAGCAGGGACCAUUGUAACGACUCAUCCGCAGGAUGGGUUCUUGAAGCAAUGGGCCAAAGAUCAGGACCACACAUUUUUCUCAACCUGUUGAUGGGUGAACCAUGAGACAUUCACAAAUCCAGAGAGCUCUCCAUAUAAUUCAGUGUUUCUCCUGGACCUCUUGGAACCUCAGUACCAGGUGGAAGUGUUGUGAGUUCUAUUUUGAUGCCUCCUUCUUCAAACUUUGAUGGAAUGAGUUCAGAGCUACGUGGAAAGAAUGAUUAGCUGCAGUCUAAUGAAUCACAGGAAAGGUUGAUGCCUGGUUCCAGCUCUGGAGACGCACCUGUAUUAUUCAGUCUUAUUUAUUUGAAGUGGUUUACCCUGUAGUUUUAUUGCCAAUAAACUAGAAUAACCAAAAUGGUCUGAAGUGUCUUAUUUUGAUAUUUGCAGCAUUUUCACCCCAAUAUUUUAUAUAAACCUUUCUGUUUUUCAUGAAUAUAUGCUGCUUAGUCCUUGACUGAAACAUUUAACAGUGUGAGAGUGGAGUAUUUUGCUGCUACAGACUUAGACCUUCUGAAGAGCCUAAUCAAAACCAGAUUUUUUUCCUUUAAUUGGAAAAGAAAUGAGUGUUUUGCACUACACACUAGCUAGUUAGUGCUAUCAUAAGCAACCCCCUAUUAAUCACGUACCAUUUUUUGCAGCUGUGUACAGUAACUGACCUGCCUAGAUACACUAUAACUGAAGCAAUUAAGGAUCUUUUGUAUUUUUUAUGUAAUUACCACUUCUGAGCUAGGUUGCUAAAUACUUGGGACAUUUGGGGUUAUAAUUUCAAGGUCAUUAUAUUUUUGUUCAUCUCAUUUCCUAGGAAACCUAUUUGCAGACUUGCCUAAAGCAUCCCAGACACUGUACAUUAAAGUAUGGCAAAUUAAUUCAAUCCUACCUCCUUCCAUUCAGUAGGUGCAUGUCCAUUUUUCCAGUGUCUAAUACACAGUAUAUUUUUAAAUUGUAAACUAUUGCAUGUUUUAAUGAUGCAAACAAUGGAGAGACCAAAUAAGCUAAAAGAGCUAACACAUUUAUCUCUACAUUCUGCCAUCUGUUUGAAACUGCUGAUGUAAUUCCAGUUUUAAAUUACAUUAGAUCCUGCCUUCUGGACCCCUUUCCCUAUUUACUUUUUUUUUUUUUUAAUUUAUUUUUUAUUUAAGCCUUCUUUAGAGAAAGCAGUGCCUUCAGGUUGUUGACUACAUAAUAAGAAACUGUGUCUUUGACUGUUUUCAAUCUAGACUUAAAUUUAGGUUUCCUGGAAAAAGAGGUAUAGUGAAAUAAUAGCUUUAUUUCCAAAAGAUGAAAUUAUUCUCUGUGUAUAAUUUGAUGAGAUCUGUUUUCAGCAAUAAUGCUAGCAACCAGCAGAUUUGUUUAUUCUGAAGAAGCAGCAAAGAUUAAGGUUUGUGUUCUUGCAUAUUCUAUUGUCUAAUGAUGGAAUUUCCAGUUUUAUCUCUGUGCUUAUGCUUCAGAAUUAGUUGAAUUUCUUUUAUGUAACCUCUUCCCCUUGUUUUAUUGGCUUAGUUAACAAACAUGUAUUUAUUUUUCUUAGCACUUCCUUUGCCUUUUCAGUCCACAGUGGCAACUCUCCAUUCUCUCUUCUUCUGGCAUCUUGUGGCUCAAAUCACUUACUUGUCUGGAUCUGAUACCAGUGUUGAUCUUUUAAGGAUUUGCUUACAGGCAUGUUGGUCAGGGUCUGUCUUCAGCAUCAUCUGUUAAACACAUAGCCUGAUUUUCGCACAGUUAUUUUUAUGUCUUGAAAAUUCAGACUUUAAAAUAUUUGCAUCACAUAAAUUAAAAUAAUGUAUUCUGGUUUACAGUUAAUUUUUUAAAAAAUUUUUACUUUGUUUACAUGUAUUAUAUACCCACGGAAUAUAGAAGGACUAGAGAAGGACUUUGGAGAGAAUUUGGAGUUCUAUGCUAAAAAGUUUUCAGACUCCUCAUUUGAAUUGAUUUUAAAAGGAGAUAUCACAUAAUUAAAAAUCAAGAAAAAAUGCAUUUCAAGCAACAUAUUA